UUCCCCCUCCCAGACACGUGCGGCUCUGCACGUGCCUCCCCCGGCGUACACAGACCCGGUGCUCUCAUUGGUCAGCUUGCCGGCAACACGUGACCCCAGACACAGACACUCACAGCCCAUUUGCCACCGCCCGCGGGGGCUCGGCCAAUGGAGAGGCAGCCGAGCGGGGAUUGGCUGGGAGGGAAGCAGUCGAUGCUCCGCCCGUACAUGCGGCUCCUCCGGUGAUAAAAAGGAGGAUGGAAAAAAAAAAAAGUGAAAAUGAAGGAAGGGGCGGAAAAAGGGUGGAGCUCGUCGCCUUAAAUAGGACGGCGCUGCGCGGGAGACGGCGCGGCUGGGGUGCGCAGAGCGAGACCAUGCCAUGGGGGCGGUGCCUGGGGGACGUGGGCCCCUCCGAGCGCCUCCGCGCACGGGCGCAGCACGUGGGAGCCCUCGGCAACUCGUGUCCGCAACGUGUGUGACAACGGGCGUGUGACGCCGGGCAUCCGUUCCCUCGGCGGCGGCUCGCCCUCGUGACUCCCCACUCUUUCAUCCUCCCCUCCUCGCCUCCUAGUUGGGUGCCUCCUGCCCUGCUGGGCGAGGAGGGUGGGGACUGCAGCCGGAACACCGCGUCCUCUCCGGGGCUCCCGCCGAGCGGCUUCUUCAGCCGGUUCUUACAUAACCUGCCACGCACGUUACCAUCUCAGACGCCAGCCCGCCAAGACUCCAGGGGUCAAAGCCGAACUCGUCCCUGACUUUUCUGCCCCGGGCCCUUUCAGACCCUUCAACUCAGAACUCUCUGGUUCUCAGCACAGGGAACAGAGUAGAGUAGAUCCUUGAUGCUCAAGGUAAUGGCUUUAUCUGGCUCCGGUUUAUUGGAAAGACGUUGAGGAAGGAAACGAGCCAGUCCAGAGUCACCAACAGACGUUCACAUCCGUUUCACCAUGUCAUAGUUAAAGGAAACAACCAAGAACAGGACCCUGUAGGCUGAAGACAACAUAAGCAUCGCAAGGGGGCACUCUAGUUCUGAUUAGGGUCGGGAGAACAGACAGGAAUUUUCAUUUCUUAUAUGCAUAUUCUUACUAAAAGAAAAAGUUGGACAGGGAUUUAAGUUGGGAAUUGGAGAAUGCGUGAUUAUUUUAAAUAUAUUCAAGUACUUUUUACUUAUAUUUAGCAAUAUGGUUAUUUUAGAAAAAAAGGGUUUCUAAAUUAAACCUCAGCACUGUUUUCCCAAACAUGAAGUUUCAAGACAAUAUCAAGUAAAGUAUAAUUAAUCUCGGUAUGAUGGCUCGCUCCUGCUGUAAUCCUAGAGGAUGGACACAGGAGCUCAGUUCAAGACCAGCCAGAGCCGCAUGGGACCAUUAGAAACCUGUUACCUGACUUGGCGUCGCUUUGCCCUUGGUUUCCCGGCUCCACCUUCCAGAUCUCCACUCUGCCCCCAAGCCUGGACUCCAGCAGCUGAGAAAGCACCAUCACUCCCCGCUGACAUGCCCACUUGCCUCCUCUUUAUAUCUUUUCUCUCACCCCACCGACCACAAAAGGACUAGUACAAAAGGCUCAGGAUCAGAAGUGGACUUACCCAGGAUGAGGGGUACCGCAAGGAAGGCUACGAAGAGGACAUCCAUCCUGGGUCGUGCACCGGCGCUGUGAGAGAGAAAAGAGGAAACUCUGCCGUUUCCCACCAGGCUAGCCCAGCCUCCCCCGCUGCUGGGAAGGAGCAGUGAUUCCUCUCCCAAGGGUCAGAAUUCUCCGCCUACUUGCUCGGCAGAUCUGUUACAUAGCAGCUGGACUGAGGGGCAAGCCUGUUGAUGGAAGCAAACUUGUUAUUCCUGGGGAGCCCCCCUAGAUUAGGUCCACUCGGGACGCCCGCUGCCUGCGGGGACCAGCGUUUUGACUCUCUCCUCCUUCCCACGCAGACUUGUCUUUACUCACAAUAUCCUUCAUCACCGUGGGAAUGAUGAGAGGAAAGGGUGAGGACCUGUUCUAGACAAUAAAUAAAUGGUGCCUCUUCUCUGCCUGUCUCGGCUAUGGAGGAUGAGAGUGAUGUUUACAAACCA